ACCAACCACCAGUUUACAAGAUCUGGGUUGAAACACUGUUUCUGUGGCUAUGGGUUCAUUGAUUUAUUCACUCAGGAUGCUUAUCACUGAGCACCUAAACUCAAGGGAAAUGACCCAUAACUAAAUAAAUAAAAGACCCCUCUACAGUGAGGGGGAAGCUGAGUAAAUAGACAAAAAUAAUUACAUGAUAUUUGUGCUGAGGACUGAACCCUUGUAAAUGGAUUGCCCAGGCUUCUUGGAGAACAUGGUGCGAAAGCAGAAAACUAGGAGAGGUGCGUUUAUUCAGUGAGCUCUCACCGUGGCGUGGACGGCUGCCCUUCAUUUCCAGUCCCACUUCCCGGCCCCUACGCUACCCUCGGAUUAUCCGCGGGGAAAAAUGAGACACCGUGCCCUAAGCAUCCGACCCUGCGCCUGCCACGUAGCUCAAGAAACCCUGCUCGCCGAGCCUCUGCACACACCCCUGCUGGGUCCAAGCCUGCAGCGACUCUAGGGUAGCGACAACUUGCCCCCAGGUCUCCUCACGCUGGCUUCCUCAAACCGAAGCUUGGCUUCCCCUGCUGAGUUCUCACCUGUCUCUCCUUCGCGCGACGAUUCUCAGGUAGACUCGGACCGGGGCCCCGGGUUCCCUGAGAGUCACGAGGGAAGGCUGUCCCGGGAACCCGCAAGAAACGGCAGCAUAACCCGAGUGCCCGAAACUGCCUCUCUUUAAAUGCAGGACAUUUUUCUGCCGGAUCUCUGGAAAGCUGUCUGUGCUGGUGGGGGUUUUCAGCAGGUCACUGUCUGCCCCAGACCCCAGGAACUGGUGUCUUUCCAGCUUUCACACCGAAUAUACUCUACGCUUCUGACCUUUUUUCCCCCAGCGCCAUACCAAAUGUUUCCUGGGACUUUCUUUCUUCCCAAGAUCCACUAUAGGAAGUCCACCAUUUGAGAACUCAGUGUCAAUGGAUUGAAUGUAUCUGAAAAGUUCCUUUACUAGUUACUUAUUUGGAGCUCAGGCUGCAUUUUUCCAGGGGAACAAUAUGAUAAUUAUUGGUUACCUUACUAGGCCAAUCCGGAAAUGCCAACAUAACCCAGGUCACAGCUGAACCUCCCAGAGUCCUCCUGGUCCUUGAACCUCUCAGGUUCACCCCCCACCCUAAUCAGGUGUCAUGGGCCUCCUUAAGAGUUUUAAGUCUCUCAUGUAACCCCCUGCCCCUUUACACCUCUCUCCCCUCUGUCCAAAAUCAAAGCAAAACAAAACUCACAAAUCUGCUCAUUCCUUAAGGUAAACCCAACCCAGCAAGGUGUCCAGAGGAAAGAAAUCUUAUCAAACACAUUCCCACUGAUGUGUAUCACCAUUGACAUCACCGAACAUUCUCUAACCCUUCCAGAAUGACCCACACUUCUAAUUGACAAUGCUUUAAAACUCAGAUGAACCCCUAAAGGGUAGCUGGAGUUCCAGGCAGGGUCCCCGGAUGACAUGAAAACAUUUGGACUUCUUUUGAGAAGUCACCGGAGGCAGGUGAGUGGAGACCCUUGGAUUAAAGCUUUCUUUUGCAGCUCCCUCCUUUCCUACAUUUUUAAUCCACCAGUUUUCUGGAAGGUCUGUGUUCUUUCCUGUAAAGUACCCACGGCUGCAGGGACAGCAACCACAGGGUCAGAUAGGGAGCCCAUAGGGGUGUACCCCUGUGGAUUGGGAAAUCCAGUUGGAAAUGCCCUCCGUUUUAGAGGCUGAGGAUUCACUCCUCUCACUCUUUAGGGAAAUCAGAGCCUGAGUGUCUAUGCAAUAACCCAAAACACUAAGGAGGAGCUAGGCACCAGAACCCCAGCGUGAUGAUUUGGAAAUCAAAACUGAUAUCCUCCUGCCGGAACUGAUAUCCUCCAUUUCCAUCAUGUCUGUGUCCUACCUCAGUGGUCAAGCAACGUGGGAGGUCCAGACACAACUCCAAGUAACUUACUGAUUUGCCAUAAGAUAUCGCGCAGGCUCUGGAAUGGUAAUUUCUCAGAAUUUCUGUGAUCAACACAUUUUUUUCCUGUGUAAGCAAACCUACGUGGAAAGAAGUAGGUAGCUUGUUGAAAGUGGCAUCAGAAGGAGGGGAGACAAAUACUGAAUAUCUUUAGGCCUGAGGCAUGCUUGUUAGCUGGAGGUGGCUUUGUCGUGGAAUUAUAUGAACAGCCUCUAUUCUGCGUGCUUUACACAUAUUAAUUUAAUCCUCCCAGGGAUUCUUGCGGAUCCUUACCACUAUCAUCAUUCCCAUUUCAUAGGUGAAUAAGUAGAGAUACAGGUUUAAUAACUGGCCUGGGUUCUGUAGCUAGUCGAUGGCAAUCAGGAUCCGAAGCCAGAUAUGAAGAGUCUGGACUCUGAACCACUAUCCUACACUCUCCUAAAGACUUGGAGCCUAUUAGCUACAGGGUGCAUCCUGCUGUGAGGCCACCCUUUCCACUGGAAGGGAGCACCCAGCCGCCCUGAAUGUAGAGGGGUAGGGCCCGCCCCUUUCUCUGGCCUCUCCCUCUAUCCAGGGUUAGAGAACACUCUGCCCUCCCCUCAUUGACAGGUUUUUUUUGGGGGGGGUAGACAUGUUAAAAUACUGAAACUGGUGACUGUUGUGGUCUUACGGGCCUAAAAGUCUUAUCUCAUUCCUCAGAUAGCUCUGCAUCUCUGGCCUCUGAUUGGCAACGCGGAUUCUCAAGAGUAAACCUUCUUUACCUCAUUUCUUAGUUCUUCGCAGGACUUGAGACUAGUGCCCUGUAGCUCCUUAGUACUUGCAGUUAAACAGAUUAUCCCCUCCUACAUCUCCUUUAUUUUUUAAAAGAAUGAUCACUGGAAAAUACUGAAAAGACUUCCAGCUUCCUCAUUUUAUUGUUUUAAAGAUUUUAUUUAUUUAUUUGAGAGAUUGCAAGAACGAGUGGGGGAGGAGCAGAGGGAGAAGCAGACUCCCUGUGGAGCAGGGAGCCCUACGCAGGGCUCAACUCGGGGCUCUAUCCCAGGGCUCUAGGAUCAUGACCUGAGCUGAAGGCCGACGCUUAACCGACUGAGCCACCCAGGCGCCCCUUCCUCAUUUUAUAAGUGUGCCAUUUAAAGCUCAGAGUGGAGCAACGAUGGACCCAAGGCCACAGAGUUGUGGCAAAGCUGCAACUGGGUUCUCGUGACUACCAGUCCAACUCCGUAUUCCCGAAAUUAUACCUGAAGCUCCCCGACCCCCUUUUUCUUAAACCAGGUUUCUCUUGCUUAGCUCUGUCUCCUGUUCAGUUUCCGCCUUCUGGCCUAAGCUUUUGAUUUUCAUUUCCCACCCUGCCAGAACUGGGAUCCUCCUCUGUGGGUCCCUUCCUGCGGGACUUGCCUUUUCCUCCAGAGGUUUGUGUGAACGUAGCCUUGCAAGAGCAGGUCACAGAAUCCUCAGCUCCACGACACCAAGGGUACAUGCACAAGGAGCAGCAUGUGUUCAUUCAGUCAUCCCACAGAGUUUGGUUGCUACUACAUCCUAGGCAGUGUUCUAGGCAUUAUGAUCUGGAGCAGAGAAACCGGCAAAGGCGAGCCCUAUGGAGCUUACGUUGUAGUGGGUGGUAGAGUGGACAUAGAGAAAGACUACAAACACGUAAGAUAUUUUCUUGCACAAGUAAAUACUAGAGGGAAACCAGAGCAAUGUGAUAGAGUCAAGAGUAACCAGGGCAAGCGACUACAGGGAGACCAGGAGUGGCGCUGUUAAGGAAAGGCUUUGGGAGGGGGUGACUUGGGAGUGAGCCGUGGAUGGUAAGAAGAGGGGAGUCUUGCAAAGAUCUAGGGAAAAAGGUCCUAGGAAGAAGGAUGUGCCGGUACAAUGCACCUGAGACAGAACCCAGCUUGUCUGGCUCAUGGAACCAGAAGGAGGUCAGCGUGGCUGGGGCAGCCUGUGGGAGGAAGAGAGAGGUAGGGGCAAGAUCAGAGAGGGAGGCUGGACCAGAUCACAAGGUAGGGCCUUGGAGGAUUGCAACACAGACCUUCCUCCUUGUCCUCUUUGAGCUUCAACAACCAAACAUUUUGGAUUGUCAGUGUCAGUCUUGAUUAAAAUGUUACUUACUAUUAGCUCCUGAGUAAACUUCUAUUGGGUUGAACACGUGAUCCAAAAUUUGGGUUUGGAAAAUAUCAUCACUGUAUUUUUGGCACUGUUUCCUAAAGAGUAGGUAGAGCAUCUUUAGGGAGAUUUGUCCAAUCUGCAGGAUGGACAGCGGAUACAAGGUGAAUAGUGAAGAAGAGGAGACAAAGAGUUUCUUAAUAUCUGGGGGAGGGGGGAUUAGAGAGCAGAACAAGAGUGAGAGAGAAAGAGAAAGAAUGAAAAAGAGAGAGAGAGAGGGUGAGUUUGCAGGAGGGGUACUUGAAAUGCAAAACUCCUGAGGUGAGACCUAGUGAUGUCAAUACAAUUGGCGAAAGGCUUGUGGAGUACGAGGAAGCAGCAGGAGGCCCACGCUAGGAUGCAAAGAUCAUUCAGACAAGAGGACAGACAUGAACACAGAGUACACGGGGAGAAGGAGCCAGCUGCAGUGCUGAGUGUGAAAUCAGUGGAAACAGCUAAAUCAAAAUGCUGGCUUAGAGAUUCUCACUUCAGAGGUGAAGCACCGAGACUGGGGGAUGGCACUGAGUAGAAAGAAGGCUAAGCAGGUUCUUAAUUCUCUGGUAUGCCCCAGUUGGCUAACAGGUCCUUCAUCAAUUUGAAGAGGGUUGGCAACACCCUCUAUUGCAUGUGCCUGGCUUUUCUGGGAGGGUCCUUGGUAAACCAGAUAGACCACCACCCAGGCUAUCAGCCUGGCCGGACAGUCAGGUGAGAGUUCUGUGAUUGCUCACACUGUUGUCAGAAUGCUGCACGGGGCACGUUUUUAGGAGCAGGGCUAGCCCAGGGCAGAACUGAACGUACUUAGAUGUUUAUCUUCCAGGUUCUCCUCCUGAGUUCCACCCCCUUUACUUCCCUUCCAUAACAACCUGCAGGGGAAACAAACCUUAUACCAGUCUUUCAAUACCUAUGAUGUAAAUUUAAGGCACUUUUCCUAAGGGAUU